GUGGGGAAUUUUGCGCAAUGGGCGAAAGCCUGACGCAGUAACGCCGCGUGGAGGAUGAAGGCCUUCGGGUUGUAAACUCCUGUCAGGGGGAACGACGGGGAAAGGAUGAUAAGUUCUUUCUUCCAGACGGUACCUCCAAAGGAAGCCCCGGCUAAUUCCGUGCCAGCAGCCGCGGUAAUACGGAAGGGGCAAGCGUUGUUCGGAAUUAUUGGGCGUAAAGGGCGCGUAGGUGGUUUUGUAUGUCUAUCGUGAAAGGGUACAGCUCAACUGUAGCGAGUCGGUAGAAACUGCAGGACUUGAGGCUGGGAGGGGCUGGUGGAAUUCCCUGUGUAGCGGUGAAAUGCGUAGAGAUGGGGGAGAACACUCGUGGCGAAGGCGGCCAGCUAGACCAGUUCUGACACUGAGGCGCGAUAGCGUGGGGAGCAAACAGGAUUAGAAACCCGUGUAGUCC
rnacentral:rRNA from 1 species